UACAAGGGAGACUAGUGUUAUUCAUCUUUAUUAGGUUUAAAGGGUACCUAGAUAGCACAAUCUAUAAAACAUAGAUGAGACGCUAGAGUUCUCAUAUAGAAGAGGUUAAUAUAGAACUGAAGGAGUUAGAGAUGGAAUGUUUUUAUCCUUUCAUGACUGGCACUGAAGACAAUCCUCUAUAUAUGAACUGACAUCGAGGGACGAAGGCUUGGUCAACAAAGAGG
rnacentral:rRNA from 1 species